rnacentral:lncRNA from 1 species
CCAUUUCUUCUUCCUUUCCCCUCUAACGAUUCUUCAUCUCCAUGGGAGCCUCCCUUAAAGCUUCUAUAACUUUUUCUCUUUAGCUUCAAUUUCAUGCUUUUGAGCACUUUUUCAUAGAACCUUUUGUGCUUUUUUACUCUCUCACCUUAAAACCCUUAAAAAGUCUUACUUCCAUCUUCCUUUCACUAGUUGGACAUGUAAAGAGAGAGAGUGAUUUCCCUUGCUAGCUUGAAAAAUUUUGAAAGAGAAUUCAACUACAAAGACCAUCAAGGUGAGUAUAAGUUAGGGUUAAAUUUCUUUAGUUGUUGAUAAUGGCUAACAAUGGGGUUUGUGAGUGUUUUAUCACUGAGGUCGUUUAUUCACUCUUAGGGUGACUAGAGUACUGUGAAUAACUAGCCAUUUAAUAGCAAUUGGAAGCUAGUUAGGAAUAACUAAUGGAACUUGAUUAGGAAAGAGCUUUUGGAUUAUAUUAAUGCCAAUUUGGGUUGGUUGUGAUGUUGUGUGUGUAUAGGUUCCAACAAGGCCUCACAUGUCCAUUUGGAGUAUUAGUUGAGGUUAGAGUCAAGCAAAAGAAUCAAUAAGACCGGUAAGUGAACUUGCAUUUCAAAAUUUGCUUUGGGAGAUGUAAAUGUAUUUGGGUGAAACAUUUGAAUGAUUUUAUCCAACCUUUGUUUAAAAAUGUGUGCCGAGGAACAAGCCCUUGAUAAAAUGCUUUGAUGUUGUGAAAAUGUGAAAUGUGUAAAAGGAUGAAUCCAUGUGCUCCUAUAAUAUGUUGGUAUGUAUGUAUAUGAAUAUACAUUGUGCAUUGAUGAAUAAUGUUGUGUGAGGAUGUUGAAGUGUGCGAGUAGGGAGUGCACACAUGAUGAUGUUGAAGUGUGCGAGUAGGGAGUGCACACAUGAUAAUGAAUGCAUAUGUAUAUAUAUAUGUGUGUGUUAUAGAAAGUUAUGAAAAUAUUUGUGAUUAUGUUGCAAGUUGGCAUUGUUAAUUGCUCUCAAAUUGCUUUUCAUUUCAACAAGAAAAUGGCUUUUGAUGUAACAAGACCCAUUUCAAUUAAAAUGCUCGGUUUCUCUCUGCAGCGAGAUUCAUUUUUGCUGCAGUGAGAAACUCUCCGGUUUUGGGGGUUACACUAGCCUGGUUUUCGCUGCAACGAGAAUAAAUCUUGUUGCAGCGAGAAACUCUCAGGUUCUGGUGCAGUGCUUUCACUUCGAUGAAGAUUUUGACCAUCUUUCUGUCCGAACUGGGAAAAGUGGUAAACAUAAAAGUUGUAUCCCUACCUCUUAGCUUUCGAAUGGUCCAAAAUCAGGUCAAUUAGACCUCUUUAGUGGGAGAUAUGAUAGAAAAACUGAAACAUAUGCAAACUAAGACUGUUUCUCACUGCAGCGAGAAACUUGCUGCCAUGCUUGCUACCUUGCUUGAUUUUGACCUAUUUUUCACCCAUUUAACUUCAUGGAUUGAUCAUGGGUUUUUUCAACACUAUUAGGUUAUUGAUCAAAGUUUGAAAUGAGGGGUUUUUAAUAAGAAAUUAAAUCAAUUGCAUUGUUUUUGAAACAAGUGCAUCAUGAUUUACAAAUUCCUUCUAUCGAUUGCUUGUUCCUUCUUAUGUUCACUCACUGAGUUUUAUACUCACGGUUUUAAACUUCAUGUUUUCAGAUUCAGAGGCAGGUGGGACCUAGAUUGAGUGUCCACAUAUGCUCGUCCUCUUGGUAGGUACUAUGGCAUCUUAAUAGCUGUACCUUCACCUAGAGUCACUCCAUUGACGGUCAAGAGUCUGUUAUCUGUGAAUGAGUUUAUGCAAUGUAAUCCGCUAAGAUCCAUGUUAUAAGUCAAAUAUGUAUAUUUGAUUACUGAUGCCACUAUGAGUUGGCAAACGGGUGACAUUAUUUUGACAUAAUAAAAUGGUGAGUAUUGGGUCACUAUAAAAUGUUACUGAAAUAUUUUUAGUUGAGAAUUACAAUAUGUGGUUUUAGAAAUGAUGGUUGGGAUUAAUGAUCG